CAGUGGGUCAGAGGGGUCGGGGCAUCUGCUGCAGCCCCCAAGCGGGGUGCGUGCAGGGGCCGCAGCACCCGCAAGGUGCCGCGUCGUCACUUGGAGGCGGUCAGCAAACCACAUAUGUGUGCAACAUCCACAUUCUUCAAGGUGGCAGUUUUUAGGGCUUAAUCUUCUGGACGAUGAAAUCGCCCCACCACGGGUGUACUUCUGAGAUACCAAAAGGUAGCCUAGCCCAUUGAAUGGCAAUGCCAAGCGUGCCAUGGGUGAAGCAGAUUCACCAAAACCAACCUAGGGACAGAAGAAUCUCCGUAGAGCCCGCAGACAG